rnacentral:rRNA from 1 species
UGGGGAAUUUUGGACAAUGGGCGAAAGCCUGAUCCAGCAAUGCCGCGUGUGUGAAGAAGGCCUUCGGGUUGUAAAGCACUUUUGUCCGGAAAGAAAUCCUUGGCUCUAAUACAGUCGGGGGAUGACGGUACCGGAAGAAUAAGCACCGGCUAACUACGUGCCAGCAGCCGCGGUAAUACGUAGGGUGCAAGCGUUAAUCGGAAUUACUGGGCGUAAAGCGUGCGCAGGCGGUUUGCUAAGACCGAUGUGAAAUCCCCGGGCUCAACCUGGGAACUGCAUUGGUGACUGGCAGGCUAGAGUAUGGCAGAGGGGGGUAGAAUUCCACGUGUAGCAGUGAAAUGCGUAGAGAUGUGGAGGAAUACCGAUGGCGAAGGCAGCCCCCUGGGCCAAUACUGACGCUCAUGCACGAAAGCGUGGGGAGCAAACAGGAUUAGAUACCCUGGUAGUCCACGCCCUAAACGAUGUCAACUAGUUGUUGGGGAUUCAUUCCUUAGUAACGUAGCUAACGCGUGAGUUGACCGCCUGGGGAGUACGGUCGCAAGAUUAAAACUCAAAUGAAUUGACGGGGUCAUAGCUGUUUCCU